GUCAGGAAAGACCCGUCGCGUGGCGAGCGAGGAAGUUCGUUUCUAGGACGUAUAUGUACUCCUCUUGAGAGGAGGCACCAUGCAGGACAUCCUUCAUUAAUAAUGGCAAACAACAUGUAGGUGACCAAGCGGCA